AUGAAGGCAAGGAUGCAUGAAGGAUCUGGUAUUGCUACUGAAGCAUUAAUGGAAAAAUACCUUGGAUUACCAACCGCUCUUGGUAGGUCCACGGAUGAACAGUUUGAAGGAAUUGUCUCAUCACUUAAAAAGCUGUGUAAAGGAUGGACUCCACAAUUGCUUAAUAGUGCUGGUCGAGAGGUACUAGUUAAAUCUGUUGGUCAAGCGAUCACGACUUUCUCAAUGAGUUGUUUCCGUUUAUCAAAGGACGUGUGCAAGAAGAUAACUAGCGUAUUAGCUCGGUACUGGUGGGGAGGAGAUGAAAAGAAGAGGAAAAUGCAUUGGAAGAAGUGGAUUGACAUAGCCAUCCCGAAGAGCGAGGGAGGCAUGGGAUUUAGAGACAUUCAGAUUUUUAACCAAGCUAUGCUCGCUAAGCAGGGGUGGAGGCUUGUCACAAACCCUGAUUCACUGUGUGCAAGGUUACUAAAAGGCAAAUAUUUUCAUGAUUGUGGUUUUAUGGAAGCUAGAAAUAAAAGAAAUGCUUCACAUACUUGGCGGGCGAUCUUGCAUGGUCGAGAAGCGUUAAAGAAAGGGCUGAUCAAAAGAGUGGGGGACGGCAACACUAUUAAGAUCUGGGAGGACCCUUGGGUGCCUGAAAGCCAUGAUAAACGCACAUUGGUUAAACUCCCAACUACAACUGUGACCCUGGUGGAAGAACUGGUUGAUCAAGAUAAUGGUGGUUGGGAUAUGCAGAAGUUAGAAGCUAAUUUUGUAGAACCAGAUGUAUCGAUGAUAGCUAGGAUCCCAAUGGGCAGAGCAGAGGAAGAUUUCUGGUCAUGGUUUCCGGACAGAUUUGGAAACUUCUCAGUACGAUCCUGCUAUAAAUUGAUGAUUGAACGUCGACGAGAUGUGGAAGCAGCAUGA
rnacentral:rRNA from 1 species